CUCCAGCGCCGCGAAAGCGACGUGGCCCUGGAUUCUGCGCAGGCGUCCGAAGCGGAGCAUCACGGGAGUGGUAGUUCCUAAGUUAUAUUUCCUCCUUCAGGGGCCGGGGUCCCGAAGGUCCUGAUGGGAGUCGCAGUUCUCUUGCACACUUUCCGCCGAACGAGCGGCGUUUCGCGGUAUUUCACGAGUGACACUCUUAUCCCUUAAGAUAUGAGUUAAAUAUCGCCGCCCUCUUCAUGGGUGUUGACGGAAUGAUGGAUGAAUAAAAUGAAUGGCUUAAGAAAUCUCCAGUGAGGAUUUCCAGUCACUCCGUUCGCGAGAGGUACCACCGCCAAACUGUGAAACCAAACAAACCACUCAGACCAGCGAGACCCAGAGGGAAGCUUAUGGGUCACGAGAGCUCCCUUCUCCAUCUGGUAUGGCUCCACCUUUUGGAUUUUAAGAUCUGUGGAAAGUGCAGGCCUCCAGGAGUUCUGUGGGGCAGAGAAGAGAGUGUACAUUUCAGUGCCAUUAGAUACAUUCACAUUGGUGAAGGACAGCUCUAUUCCACAACUAAACACAAAAUAUGAAACAACCUUUGUGGCCUCCUUGGUAUCAGAAAAGGUAAGUAUAACCUCUGGCCUCUCCCCACCCACCCCGCACACCACAGAACAAAAAUUAAUAAGCAAACAAACAAAUUUCCGCAGAGCAAUGAGAUUGGGGCUUUGUGGCCAAGACACCAGGAUGCUGAUCAGGAAUCACUGGAGCCUCAGAGGAAUAGGAACCAAGGAGCCAAGGCCUAACUCAUGGGAUCCACUAGAGCAGCAAGGAUUCCAAGGGGAACCUGAACCAGCAAGGAGGAGGAGGAUUAAAAUCAAGUAUGACCUCCCAGAUGCAGAUAAACACACUCAGAAGAAUAUAAGCCACAAUGCACAAGCAUCAACAGGAACAACAGACUUGGGCCCUCAAAGGAGGUUGAAGCUGUCUGAUGCAAAGUUGAGAAGAGCUGCCUAUGAGGUAUUUACUUUUCUAUACAAAUUGAAGGCUGCAAUCAGAGACAAAGCAUAGAAAAGGAAAUUAUCAGAAAUAAAAAGAAAAAUUAUUUGAACUGGUGCUUCUGGAAACAAAAAAUAUAACUGUUGAAAUAAAAAAGUGAUGAAUGGGCCAUAAGUUGAUUAGACAUGUUUAAAGUAAGAAUUAGUGAACUGGAAGCUAUAUCUGAAAAAUGUGUCCUGGAUGCUGCCAAAAGGAGGUAUAGAUGGUGGAAAUUGUGAAAGAAGGAUUAAAAAGUUAGAUUAAAGAAGACCUAAUAUGUGUUAUCUUGGAAUCCUAGAAUUAAAAAAAAAAAAUGGAGGAACUGAAAAAAAGCCAGUAUUUAAAGAGAUAAUGGCUCCAAAUUUUUAGAAUUGAUGAAAAACAUAAUUCCACAGACCCGAUAUACCCUAAGCAGGAUAGGUACCAAGAUUUUCGCAACUGCAAAUAUCAUAGUGAAUCUAUAGAAUGUCACAGACCAAGGAAAUGAAACCUCAAAAUUAUUCAGAGAUGAUUGAAGGAAUAACAGGAUAAUACCAGACUUCUCCACAACUACAGUGGAAGUCAGGAGAGAGUGGAAUAAUAUUUUAAAACAGGGUAAAAAUGUCAAACUAGAAUUAUACAUUCAGCAAAAUUAUCAUUCCAGAGAUUAAAGCAUUUGCAGAGAAAACAAGCAAGCACCUGAGAGAGUUUAACACCAAGAGAUUGGCUUGACAGGAUCACCAAAAGAACAUAUUUCAAGAAGGAAACAUAUCCCAGAAGGAUAGUGUGAAAAAUGAGAAGGAAUGGGAAACAGACUAAAUGACAAAAAUGUAGAUAAAUCUAAGUGUUCUCUUUCUCUCUUUCUAAAUUUUUGGGUGUGUGUACACACACACAGAUACACAAACACACACACAUAAGUUUAUAUAUAGUGUCUACAAAUACAUGAAGUAUUUACAUUGAGUGUUUUAAAAAAGAUAGACAUAAGGGACGCCUGGGUGACUCAGUUGGUUAAGUGGCUGCCUUUAGCCCAGGUCAUGAUCCCAGGGUCCUGGGAUCAAGUCCCAUGUUGGGCUCCUUGCUCAGCGGGGAGCCUGCUUCCCCCUUUCUCUCCCUCUGCUUGUGCUCUCUCUGUCAAAUAAAUAAAAUCUUAAAAAAAAAAGACAUAAAAUAUUAAAUGGUAAUAUUUAAACAGGGAAGAGGGAAGUCUGAGCUACUGUUUCCCAGAGUCCUUUUAUUGUUUGGGAAGGAGAACCAGGAUUACUUUACUGUAAUAUAUUGGUAAGCUAAAAGUAUGUAGUAAAAAUUUAAGGAACUCAUUAAGGAAUAUAAAUAAAGUGUUUAAAUUCAUUACCAGUAGGAGGGAAAGUGGAAUAAAGGGAAAACAAUGCAAAUGAACAAACACAUGUGCAAACUCAAUUUUUAAAAAUCAGAAAAGGAAAAAUCAGAAAACAGGGGAAGCCUGGACUAAAAGAAAUCAAAAAGUAAUAUGGCAGAAAUAAGUCCAAAUUUACCAGUAAUAAUAAUAAAAUAAAUGAGAUUUCACAUAAAAUAAAUGAUUGUCAGAUUGCAUUAAUAAGAUCCAGCAAUAAACAGUUUUCAAAAGAUGCACCUAAAGCAGAAGCACACAGAAUAUUGAAAAUAAAGGAAUGAAAAAAGGCACAGGAGAAGACUACUAAGCAAAGAAAGUUGGUAUAGUAUGUUAAUAUCAGAAAAAUAGAGUUUAGUCAAAAAGAACUGCCAGAUAAUUUCUUAAUGAUAAAAUACCAAAUUCACCCAGAAUGAUAUGGAUUAUUCUCUCAUAUGCUGGUGGUAGGAGUAGAAAUUGAAAUAAUCACAUUGUCAACUACACUCCCCCCCCAAAAAAGAGGAGAGAGCCCAGAUGUCCCUCGACAUGAAUGGAUAAAGAAGAUGUGGGGUGUGUGAAUAUAUAAUGGAAUAUUACUCAGCCAUCAAAAAGAAUGAAAUCUUGCCAUUUUCCAUGACAUGGAUGGAACUAGUGGGCAUUAUGCUAAGCAUAAUAAGUCAGUCAGAGAAAGACAAAUACCAUAUGAUAUCACUCAUAUGUGGAAUUUAAGAAACAAAACAGAUGAAUAUAGGGGAAGGGAAGGAAAAAUAAAAUAAGAGGAAAACAGAGAGGGAGACAAAUCAUAAGAGACUCUUAACUAUA